UCGAGAAUUUUUCUCAAUGGGCGAAAGCCUGAAGGAGCGACGCCGCGUGGGGGAUGAAGGGCUUCGGCUCGUAAACCCCUGUCAUUCGCGAACAAACCCUCUGACUUAACACGUCAGUGGCUGAUUGUAGCGGAAGAGGAAGGGACGGCUAACUCUGUGCCAGCAGCCGCGGUAAUACAGAGGUCCCAAGCGUUGUUCGGAUUCACUGGGCGUAAAGGGUGCGUAGGUGGCCGGGUAAGUCUGAUGUGAAAUCUCCGAGCUCAACUCGGAAAAUGCAUUGGAAACUGCUUGGCUAGAGGAUUGGAGGGGAGACUGGAAUUCUCGGUGUAGCAGUGAAAUGCGUAGAUAUCGAGAGGAACACCAGUGGCGAAAGCGAGUCUCUGGACAAUUCCUGACACUG
rnacentral:rRNA from 1 species